ACAAACGCUAUGAAAAGAAGAGUAUGCAAAUUAUGAUAUUUACAGAGAACCUACAUAAGCUGAGAGUAGGAAUAAAGUAAUUGCUGAAGAUGGUCUUGGAGCGGUGUACCGAGGUAAAUUUUGCUUAGGCUACAACGGGUUUCGCCCGUUACAGUGAUAAAGUAUCUGUAUAAACACGUACUUGAUAAGGCUUAUAUUGUGAAGUAUAAGUAAAUUUAAGGUGGUAACACGAAGCGUACAUAUUUGCUCUCGUCCUUUUA
rnacentral:ncRNA from 1 species